GUGCUUAUUUCAGCAGCACAUACUAAAUUUUACCAAUUUGGAAUGAAAAUUAGCAUGGUGCCUUGCAAGGAUGACAUGCAAAUUCGUGAAGCAUUCCAUAUUUUU
rnacentral:snRNA from 1 species